CCUACGGUGGGCAGCAGUGGGGAAUAUUGGGCAAUGGGCGCAAGCCUGACCCAGCAACGCCGCGUGAAGGAAGAAGGCUUUCGGGUUGUAAACUUCUUUUGUCAGGGACGCAGCAAGUGACGGUACCUGACGACUAAGCCACGGCUAACUACGUGCCAGCAGCCGCGGUAAUACGUAGGUGGCAAGCGUUAUCCGGAUUUACUGGGUGUAAAGGGCGUGUAGGCGGGGAAGCAAGUCAGAUGGGAAAACCACGGGCUCAACCUGUGGCUUGCAUUUGAAACUGUUUUUCUUGAGUGCUGGAGAGGCAAUCGGAAUUCCGUGUGUAGCGGUGAAAUGCGUAGAUAUACGGAGGAACACCAGUGGCGAAGGCGGAUUGCUGGACAGUAACUGACGCUGAGGCGCGAAAGCGUGGGGAGCAAACAGGAUUAGAUACCCCAGUAGUC
rnacentral:rRNA from 1 species